rnacentral:other from 1 species
AACCCCCUGCGCGGUUCGACACCUGGACGAGAUUUUUUUCCCUACAAAUUGAAUUCUGGGAGCCGCCUCUGACCGAUGGAAUGAGCACGCCCGCUGGAGUCGGGAAGCCCGAUGCGGUCAUUCUGUGGUUCCCCCCUUACGAAAGUAGGGGCUAGGAACUCGUUCGGAACGGCCGAGGUGGAGGGUUC